rnacentral:rRNA from 1 species
CCUACGGGCGGCUGCAGUGGGGAAUAUUGGACAAUGGGGGGAACCCUGAUCCAGCCAUGCCGCGUGUGCAGAAGGCCCUCGGGUUGUAAAGCACUUUCAGUGAGGAAGAACGCCUGGUGGUUAAUACCCAUCAGGAAAGACAUCACUCACAGAAGAAGCACCGGCUAACUCCGUGCCAGCAGCCGCGGUAAUACGGAGGGUGCGAGCGUUAAUCGGAAUUACUGGGCGUAAAGCGCGCGUAGGUGGCUUGAUAAGCCGGUUGUGAAAGCCCCGGGCUCAACCUGGGAACGGCAUCCGGAACUGUCAAGCUAGAGUGCAGGAGAGGAAGGUAGAAUUCCCGGUGUAGCGGUGAAAUGCGUAGAGAUCGGGAGGAAUACCAGUGGCGAAGGCGGCCUUCUGGACUGACACUGACACUGAGGUGCGAAAGCGUGGGUAGCAAACAGGAUUAGAUACCCGUGUAGUC